GCCGAAGUAGCUCAGUCGGUAGAGCAACUGAUUUGUAAUCAGUAGGUCGGGGGUUCGACUCCCUUCUUCGGCU
rnacentral:tRNA from 1 species